rnacentral:piRNA from 1 species
AUCAAGACCACAAGUGGAAGA